CCAAAAGGAGAUUUGAGUAAAGGAGAGUGCCGUGAACGCAAGAUCCGUGCAUAAGGGCUGCUGUCUGUUGACCUUUGGCAGCGCUCUGAGCCAGCCAAAUCACAGAGUGACAGUCUGGAAUAAAGCACAAGACCUCAAGGCUCAUACGGAACCCACAGCUUAUAUAGUUCUGGUGUAAGAUUCUGAUUGAGAAGAUGCUGUGACUGAAAAAGAAAAGAGAAAAAUCACUCUAAGUCUUCCAUGGUCAGCUGGAGGGCCAAAGAUUCCUAGACACUGUUAACUCUCACAACUCACCUACGACUCGAGUGUUGGUUCAGGUGUUGGAUCUACUGGCAUAUGGAGUUACAGGCAAUUGUGAGCCAUUCAACGAUGUGUCCUGAAGCUAACUUGGGUCCUCUGGAAGAGCAGAAAGGGCUCUUGACCCUGAGCCAUCUCUCCAGCUCUGAUCAAUAAAAUUUUUUUCAA